rnacentral:rRNA from 1 species
UACGGGGGGAGCAAGCGUUGUUCGGAUUUACUGGGCGUAAAGGGCGCGUGGGCGGUCAGCACAAGUCAAUUGUGAAAUCUCCGAGCUUAACUCGGAAAGGUCAACUGAAACUGUGCGACUAGAGUGCGGAAGGGGCAACUGGAAUUCUUGGUGUAGCGGUGAAAUGCGUAGAUAUCAAGAGGAACACCUGCGGCGAAGGCGGGUUGCUGGGCCGACACUGACGCUGAAGCGCGAAAGCCAGGGGAGCGAACGGG